rnacentral:rRNA from 1 species
UACGUAGGGUGCGAGCGUUAAUCGGAAUACUGGGCGUAAAGCGUGCGCAGGCGGUUUUGUAAGCCAGAUGUGAAAGCCCCCGGGCUUAACCUGGGAAUGGCAUUUGGGACUGCAAGGCUUGAGUGCGGCAGAGGAGACUGGAAUUCCUGGUGUAGCAGUGAAAUGCGUAGAUAUCAGGAGGAAUACCGAUGGCGAAGGCAGGUCU